rnacentral:rRNA from 1 species
AACGUAGGGGACAAGCGUUAUCCGGAUUUACUGGGCGUAAAGCGCGUGCAGGCGGCUUGGUAGGUUGGACGUGAAAGCUCCUGGCUCAACUGGGAGAGGCCGUUCAAUACCGCCAGGCUUGAGGGCGGAAGAAGGGAGUGGAAUUCCCGGUGUAGUGGUGGAAUGCGUAGAUAUCGGGAGGAACACCUGUGGCGAAAGCGGCUCCCUGGUCCGUACCUGACGCUAAGACGCGAAAGCGUGGGGAGCGAACGGG